rnacentral:misc_RNA from 1 species
GGGAACUACUCCUGCUGCUAUAGAUAUGUGCCUAUCUGUUGCCGAUCAAUAUGAUAUUCAGGUCAACAUCCAUACUGACACCUUGAAUGAAUCUGGAUUUGUUGAGCAUACAAUUGCUGCUUUUAAAGGUCGCACCAUACAUACAUAUCACAGUGAAGGUGCUGGUGGUGGACAUGCUCCGGAUAUAAUCAAAGUUUGUGGUGUAAAGAAUGUAAUUCCCUCAUCAACCAAUCCAACACGUCCAUUCACUUCAAAUACAGUGGACGAGCACCUUGACAUGCUGAUGGUAUGCCAUCAUCUUAGCAAGAACUCCCGAGAGGAUAUAGCUUUUGCUGAAUCCCGGAUUCGGGCUGAAACAAUUGCUGCAGAAGACAUUUUGCAUGAUAUGGGAGCAAUUAGCAUAAUAUCUUCUGAUUCACAAGCCAUGGGUCGAAUUGGAGAGGUGAUUUGUAGAACAUGGCAGACUGCCCACAAGAUGAAGUCAUUUAGAGGACCAUUGGACAUAGACGGAUCAGACAAUGACAAUUUCCGGAUCAAGCGAUACAUCGCAAAAUACACUAUAAAUCCAGCAAUUGCUAAUGGGAUCUGUCAAUAUGUCGGAUCAGUUGAGGUAGGGAAAUUAGCCGAUCUUGUGGUGUGGAAACCCUCAUUUUUCGGAGCAAAACCAGAAAUGGUGAUCAAAGGAGGCGUAAUAGCUUGGUCAAACAUGGGAGACCCAAAUGCUAGUAUCCCAACUCCUGAACCGGUGACAAUGAGACCUAUGUUUGGAGCAUUCUCCAAGGCUGCAAGUUCUAAUUCAAUUGCUUUUGUCAGCAAGGUAGCUCUGGAUGCUGGAAUAAAAGAUUCGUAUAGACUAAACAAGAGGGUUGAAGCUGUAACUAAUGUGAGAAAUAUCACUAAACUAAAUAUGAAGCUCAAUGAUGCACUGCCUGACAUCAAAGUCGAUCCUGAGACAUACACAGUGACUGCAGAUGGAACAGCCCUUACAUGCCCCCCGGCUACUACUCUACCACUCUCCAGGAACUAUUUUCUCUUUUAGCAGUAACUAUUUGUACUCCAAUAGUUUUGGUUGUCCUCCAAUUGGUUGUCUUAUGUAAGCUUGGCUGGUAGAAUUUAAUUUUCUAAAAUUCCAGUUUCUUUGGCUGCAUAAUUCCUAUAAAGUGCAAGUGAGAAAACAAUAAAAGAGUUGUAACCUUGAA